rnacentral:rRNA from 1 species
GCGUGGAGCAUGUGGCUUAAUUUGACUCAACGCGGGAAAUCUUACCGGGUCCGGACACACUGAGGAUUGACAGGCAAUAUAUGUGACUCUUCGGAGUUUGCAUUGUUAAAUAUGCUAGUCCUUUCAUGAUUAUGUGAUAGGUGGUGCACGGCCGUUCUUAGUUCGUGGAGUGAUCUGUCUGCUUAAUUGCGUUUCAAAUUACUUAUAAGGUAGCAAUACGCGAUGAAGCUUUCAAUAGUCCUCACGGAUUCACUUGAGUCUCUCUCUUCGCUAUCCUUUCGAAUGCAACGAACGUGACCGCAACCUCUUGUUGCCUUCGUUUAACAUCCUGCAGCUCGCUGUGGGUACUGAGGGCUUCACUCGGUGACUUUGGGCUGAGCAAUCGGUCUUUUGAUCUGAGUAAACUAGAGGGACCGCUGUCAACUUCUUAAACCANAGGAAGGUUGCGGCAAUAACAGGUCUGUGA